GAUGAACGCUAGCUACAGGCUUAACACAUGCAAGUCGAGGGGAAACGAUAUUGGAAGCUUGCUUCCGAUAGGCGUCGACCGGCGCACGGGUGAGUAACGCGUAUCCAACCUGCCCACCACUUGGGGAUAACCUUGCGAAAGUAAGACUAAUACCCAAUGAUGUCCAUAGAAGACAUCUGAAAUGGAUUAAAGAUUUAUCGGUGAUGGAUGGGGAUGCGUCUGAUUAGCUUGUUGGCGGGGUAACGGCCCACCAAGGCGACGAUCAGUAGGGGUUGUGGGAGGAAGGUACGGCACAGUGGAACUGAGAGAAGGUCCAAACACCGACGGGAUGCAGAAGUGAGGAAUAUUGGUCAAUGGGCGGGAGCCUGAACCAGUCAAGUAGCGUGCAGGAUGACGGCCAUGUGGGUUGUAAACUGCUUUUAUAAAGGGGGAAAGUGAGCCGCGUGAGGCGUUUUGCAUGUACCUUAUGAAUAAGGACCGGCUAAUUCCGUGCCAGCCGCCGCAGUAA
rnacentral:rRNA from 1 species